rnacentral:pre_miRNA from 1 species
GACACGGACACCGAACACGACACGGACACGGACACGUGAAUACCUGUCAAACACAUCAAAUUCAACCCGGACACGGGCGUCGAUGUUGUGUCGGUGUCGGUGUC